GCAGGCAUUUGCAGAUGAGCUUGGUAUCCCUUUCCUCGAGACAAGUGCUAAAGACUCUAUCAAUGUGGAGCAGGCUUUCUUAACCAUGGCUGGCGAGAUUAAGAAAAAAAUGGGUAGUCAACCAAGUGCUUCCAAGGCAAGUGGAAGUGUUCAGAUGAAGGGGGAGCCAAUUCAGCAAAAGAGCAACUGCUGUGGUUAGCCAUUGAUAUUCGCUAUAUCAAUGUGUCCUGUUAAAAAAAAAUGUAAAACAGUGAACUAUGUUGACUGUGAUGUUUAUGGAUCUUUAAAGAACUGUUGAAGUGAUAAAUAUUGCCUGCUUGGAUAGUCA